rnacentral:sRNA from 1 species
UUUCCUUGAAACUCUGUUCCUGGCAUUUAACCUGUAUCCCUUCUAUCAGGUUUGCAACUGUGCGAUAUGAUCAAGGAGCCAAGAACAUUCGGAACCAGUUCAUGCAUCUGACAAACUACAGUGUCAACAAGAAAAGUGGAGAUUACGUCAGUUGUGAUGAUCCAGAAGUGGAGGAUUAUGGAAACAAAUGGAGCAUGAGUGCUAUGCUUAGGUACCUGAAGCAAGAAGGCAGAGAUACAACCGCAUUGAUGGCCCAUGUAGAAGACCUGAUCAUUAAGACUAUCAUCUCUGCUGAACUAGCUAUUGCUACUGCCUGUAAAACCUUUGUUCCUCAUCGCAGCAGUUGUUUUGAACUCUAUGGCUUUGACGUGCUCAUAGAUUCUACUCUGAAGCCAUGGUUGUUGGAAGUGAAUCUCUCUCCUUCUUUGGCCUGUGAUGCGCCUCUGGACCUAAAGAUUAAAGCCAGUAUGAUUUCAGAUAUGUUCACUGUUGUAGGAUUUGUGUGCCAAGAUCCUGCCCAGCGGGCAU